CACUGCACUUUGAGUCAUUCGCUCCGUUUGAGCAGAACUUUCAGGACAGGCACAUGUGCACCUGCCCGGUCUUUCUGCCCGCUCCUCGUCCCCAUCACCCUUUGGGAACUUUGACAAAUGAGUGGAGGUACGGGAGAGGUUACACGGAGAUAGUCUGAGAACAUCACUGUUUCUUCCGAGAGGUGUGAGACCACAUGCGCCUUGCUGCGGAGAAGGGCGGCUCUCGAUGGAACGAUUAUUCGGUACAGAGUCCCAUGUCAAGGCGGGAGAGAGACGGCUUGAGAAGUGCGCUGCGAGGAAAGAGCGGAGUGCUUCUGCUGGAUACCUGGUUUGGAGAGGGACUCCUGAGGAAGCUGAUGCCCAGAGAAAGGCUGUGAGACGGAAGCAAUGAGGGGGGCCACUUUCAUCCCAGAUCGAGUAACACAGAAGGGAACCUCUCCAGGUAAGCUGCUGUUGGACAAGGAUCCCUCAGGACACGCUGCCUCCCUGAUUGGGACACACCCCUCACACACCCUCCACCCUUGGAGGGAGUGAAGGGGUGUCGAUGACAGCACCUGACUGACACACCUUCCGCUCUCGGGGGCAAACUAGGUUGAAUAACAAUAACUUUUCAGCAGUUUGCCA